CACUUAAGCUUCAGAAAUGUUAACUGACAUGUUUCCAAAGGAAUUCAGAAAUUGCUCUGCUUGACAUCUGUAUUCUGUGAGAAGUCAGGAACGCACUUGGCCUCAGAGACAUGGAGGCUAAGCUAAGCAAUGCAUUUGUUUACUGCCUGAAUGUGAUGUGUUCUCUUUAACAAAGGCAAUUGUUUUUACAUUUUGAUUUUGUAAAACAUGCAAAAUGGUUAUCCAAGAAGUCUUCUAAGCUAUAAAUGGUGUAUGUAAUAUUAAAGAUUUUAUGAUCCAAAUCUCAAUUCCUUAGAAAAGUAAAAGCUUUUUCUCAUGAAAGCCCUACACUUUAGAAGUGAUCUUAAUAAAGUGUUCGAUGUGUUCCUAGACACCCAUUAUUCUGCUCGACAAUAAAGUUAACAAAGGCAAGUUUAGGUCAGUGCUUUCAUUUGUACAUUGGCUGCAUUUAUAAAAUUCUUUUAUAAUGAAUUUUGGUAUUUAUAGUUAACAGAAAUGUCUCAUUAUUCUCUUGAUAAUUACCGAUAUCCAAAGUUCCACUGUGAGAGCGUUACUUUUUUAUGUGAGAAUUUUGAACUCUAUUAAGUUAGAAAUGCAUCCUAGAAAUGGCAAUUUUUAAAAUAAGGGUUCAGGAAACUAUGAGCAAAACAUGAACUAAAGCCUGCUUUUGUAAAGUGUUAUAGAAUGUUUUUAUAUCUUUAAAUAAUAUUCUGGGGGGGCUGGAAAAUUAAGAUGAUGUAGGCUUAGUUUCUAGUAUCCACAUGGCAGCACACAGCUCCAGUUGCAGGGGAUCAAAUGUCCUCUCUGGCUUCUUCGGGUGCUUCUCACCCAUGUUACACAUCAUACACAGACACAAAACACCCACAC
rnacentral:lncRNA from 1 species